UACGAAGGGGGCUAGCGUUGUUCGGAAUUAUUGGGCGUAAAGCGCGUGUAGGCGGCUGUUUAAGUCUGGUGUGAAAGCCCGGGGCUCAACCCCGGAAGUGCACUGGAUACUGAAUAGCUCGAGGAUGAGAGAGGGAAGCGGAAUUCCUGGUGUAGGGGUGAAAUCCGUAGAUAUCAGGAGGAACAUCAGUUGCGAAGGCGGCUUCCUGGCUCAUUUCUGACGCUGAGACGCGAAAGCGUGGGGAGCAAACAGG
rnacentral:rRNA from 1 species